UACAGAGGUGCCGAGCGUUAGGCGGAAUCACUGGGCUUAAAGCGUGUGUAGGCGGGCCGUUAAGUGUCUUGUGAAAUCCCCCGGCUCAACCGGGGAAUUGCUGGGCAUACUGGCGGUCUUGAGCGAUCUAGGGGCAGAUGGAACAAGUGGUGGAGCGGUGAAAUGCGUAGAUAUCACUUGGAACGCCAAAGGUGAAGACAGUCUGCUGGGGAUCUGCUGACGCUGAGACACGAAAGCCAGGGGAGCGAACGGG
rnacentral:rRNA from 1 species